CAGUAGCCGCGGUAAUACGUAGGGUGCGAGCGUUAAUCGGAAUUACUGGGCGUAAAGCGUGCGCAGGCGGUUGUGUAAGACAGGUGUGAAAUCCCCGGGCUUAACCUGGGAACUGCGCUUGUGACUGCACGGCUAGAGUAUGGCAGAGGGGGGUGGAAUUCCACGUGUAGCAGUGAAAUGCGUAGAGAUGUGGAGGAACACCGAUGGCGAAGGCAGCCCCCUGGGCCAAUACUGACGCUCAUGCACGAAAGCGUGGGGAGCAAACAGGAUUAGAUACCCCCGUAGUCCCUGUCUCUUAUAC
rnacentral:rRNA from 1 species